UACCUACGGGACGCAGCAGUGAGGAAUAUUGGUCAAUGGCCGGAAGGCUGAACCAGCCAAGCCGCGGGAGGGAGAAAGGCGCAGAGCGUCGCAGACCUCUUUUGCCGGGGGACAAAAGGCCGGACUCGUCCGGUCCUGAGGGUACCCGGAGAAAAAGCAUCGGCUAACUCCGUGCCAGCAGCCGCGGUAAUACGGAGGAUGCGAGCGUUAUCCGGAUUCAUUGGGUGUAAAGGGUGCGCAGUCGGGCCUUUAAGCCGGCGGAGGA
rnacentral:rRNA from 1 species